rnacentral:rRNA from 1 species
UGGGGAAUAUUGCACAAUGGGCGAAAGCCUGAUGCAGCGACGCCGCGUGAGGGAUGACGGCCUUCGGGUUGUAAACCUCUUUCAGUAGGGACGAAGCGCAAGUGACGGUACCUGCAGAAGAAGCACCGGCUAACUACGUGCCAGCAGCCGCGGUAAUACGUAGGGUGCGAGCGUUGUCCGGAAUUACUGGGCGUAAAGAGCUCGUAGGCGGUUUGUCACGUCGUCUGUGAAAUCCUAGGGCUUAACCCUGGACGUGCAGGCGAUACGGGCUGACUUGAGUACUACAGGGGAGGCUGGAAUUUCUGGUGUAGCGGUGGAAUGCACAGAUAUCAGGAAGAACAACGAUGGCGAAGGCAGGUCUCUGGGUAGUAACUGACGCUGAGGGGCGAAAGAAUGGGUAGCGAACAGG